CGAAAGCCUGACGGAGUAAGACCGCGUGUGGGAGGAAGGCUCUUGGGUUGUAAACCUCUUUUCUCAGGGAAGAAGCUCUGACGGUACCUGAGGAAUCAGCCUCGGCUAACUCCGUGCCAGCAGCCGCGGUAAGACGGAGGAUGCAAGCGUUAUCCGGAAUUAUUGGGCGUAAAGCGUCCGCAGGUGGUGAGUCAAGUCUGCUGUCAAAGCCAGGAGCUCAACUCCUGUCCGGCAGUGGAAACUGACCCACUCGAGGGUGGUAGGGGUAGAGGGAAUUCCCAGUGUAGCGGUGAAAUGCGUAGAGAUUGGGAAGAACACCGGUGGCGAAAGCGCUCUACUGGACCACACCUGACACUCAGAGGACGAAAGCUAGGGGAGCG
rnacentral:rRNA from 1 species